UACGGGGGGGGGCAAGCGUUGUUCGGAAUUACUGGGCGUAAAGGGCUCGUAGGUGGCCAACUAAGUCAGACGUGAAAUCCCUCAGCUUAACUGGGGGAACUGCGUCUGAUACUGGAUGGCUUGAGUUUGGGAGAGGGAUGCGGAAUUCCAGGUGUAGCGGUGAAAUGCGUAGAUAUCUGGAGGAACACCCGUGGCGAAGGCGGCUUUCUGGGACGGUACUGACGCUGAGACGCGAAAGCGUGGGGAGCGAACAGG
rnacentral:rRNA from 1 species